rnacentral:rRNA from 1 species
AGCAAACGCUGGCGGCGUGCCUAAUACAUGCAAGUCGAACGGGGAAAGCUUUCGGGUGAGUACUAGUGGCGCACGGGUGAGUAACGCGUGGAUAAUCUGCCUUAGAGUGGGGGAUAACUAGUCGAAAGAUUAGCUAAUACCGCAUAAGACCACAAGAACUGCGGUUCAAGGGGUCAAAGGUUUUUCGCUCUAAGAUGAGUCCGCGUAAGAUUAGCUAGUUGGUGAGGUAAUGGCUCACCAAGGCGACGAUCUUUAACUGGUCUGAGAGGAUGAUCAGUCACCCUGGAACUGAGACACGGUCCAGACUCCUACGGGGGGCAGCAGUAGGGAAUAUUGCACAAUGGAGGAAACUCUGAUGCAGCGACGCCGCGUGAGCGAUGAAGGCCUUCGGGUCGUAAAGCUCUGUCGCAAGGGAAUAACACAAUGAAUGUACCUUGCAAGAAAGGAUCGGCUAACUUCGUGCCAGCAGCCGCCGUAAUAC